UACGUAGGGUGCGAGCGUUAAUCGGAAUUACUGGGCGUAAAGGGUGCGUAGGCGGGUCUUUAAGUCAGAGGUGAAAUCCUGGAGCUCAACUCCAGAACUGCCUUUGAUACUGAGGAUCUUGAGUUCGGGAGAGGUGAGUGGAACUGCGAGUGUAGAGGUGAAAUUCGUAGAUAUUCGCAAGAACACCAGUGGCGAAGGCGGCUCACUGGCCCGAUACUGACGCUGAGGCACGAAAGCGUGGGGAGCAAACAGGAUUAGAUACCCUAGUAGU
rnacentral:rRNA from 1 species